rnacentral:rRNA from 1 species
CGGGACCUAAGCCGAGGCCGCAAGGCGUAGGCGAUGGACAAUCGGUUGAGAAUCCGAUACCACCAAAUACCGUUUGAGUGAAGGAGUGACGCAGGAGGGUAAGUCAAGCCAGCGGUUGGAAAAGCUGGUCCAAGCCCGUAGGGUGAGAGAUAGGCAAAUCCGUCUCUUGUAAAGCCUGAGAGGUGAAGGGGAGCGAAAACAAGUAGCGAAGUGGCUGAUCCCAAACUGCCAAGAAAAGCUUCUAGCGAGGUAAAAGGUGCCCGUACCGCAAACCGACACAGGUAGGUGGGGUG